UACGUAGGGUGCAAGCGUUGUCCGGAAUUAUUGGGCGUAAAGAGCUCGUAGGCGGUUAGUCGCGUCUGCUGUGAAAACUCGGGGCUUAACUCCGGGCCUGCAGUGGGUACGGGCUGACUAGAGUGCGGUAGGGGAGACUGGAAUUCCUGGUGUAGCGGUGAAAUGCGCAGAUAUCAGGAGGAACACCGGUGGCGAAGGCGGGUCUCUGGGCAGUAACUGACGCUGGAGGAGCGAAAGCGUGGGGAGCGAACAGG
rnacentral:rRNA from 1 species